GGUGGCAUGGCCAAGUGGUAAGGCAGAAGCCUGCAAAGCUUCGAUCCCCAGUUCGAAUCUGGGUGCCACCU
rfam:Neochlamydia sp. EPS4 DB42_CK, whole genome shotgun sequence.